rnacentral:rRNA from 1 species
GAGCGUUGUCCGGAUUUAUUGGGCGUAAAGAGCUCGUAGGCGGUUUGGCAAGUCGGGUGUGAAAACUCCGGGCUCAACUCGGAGACGCCACUCGAUACUGCCAUGACUCGAGUCCGGUAGGGGAGUGCGGAAUUCCUGGUGUAGCGGUGAAAUGCGCAGAUAUCAGGAGGAACACCGGUGGCGAAGGCGGCACUCUGGGCCGGUACUGACGCUGAGGAGCGAAAGCGUGGGGAGCGAACAGG